AUACUACUCCCUCCGUCCGGAAAUACUUGUCAUCAAAAUAAAUAAAAUGGGAUGUAUCUAGAUGUAUUUUAGUUCUAGAUACAUCCUUUUCUAUCCAUUUUGAUGACAAGUAUUUUCGAACAGAGAUAGUAUAUG
rfam:Triticum aestivum genome assembly, contig: Triticum_aestivum_CS42_TGACv1_scaffold_579152_7BL